GCCAGACUCCUACGGGAGGCAGCAGUGGGGAAUAUUGGGCAAUGGGCGCAAGCCUGACCCAGCAACGCCGCGUGAAGGAAGAAGGCUUUCGGGUUGUAAACUUCUUUUGUCAGGGACGAAGCAAGUGACGGUACCUGACGAAUAAGCCACGGCUAACUACGUGCCAGCAGCCGCGGUAAUACGUAGGGAGCGAGCGUUGUCCGGAAUUACUGGGUGUAAAGGGAGCGUAGGCGGGACUGCAAGUUGGGUGUCAAAUCUACCGGCUCAACCGGUAGCCGCACUCAAAACUGCAGUUCUUGAGUGAAGUAGAGGCAGGCGGAAUUCCUAGUGUAGCGGUGAAAUGCGUAGAUAUUAGGAGGAACACCAGUGGCGAAGGCGGCCUGCUGGGCUUUUACUGACGCUGAGGCUCGAAAGUGUGGGGAGCAAACAGGAUUAGAUACCCCGGUA
rnacentral:rRNA from 1 species